ACGAAGAGUUUGAUCCUGGCUCAGGAUGAACGCUAGCGACAGGCUUAACACAUGCAAGUCGAGGGGCAGCGGGGGUAGCGAUACCCGCCGGCGACCGGCGCACGGGUGAGUAACGCGUAUGCAACUUGCCUAUCAGAGGGGGAUAACCCGGCGAAAGUCGGACUAAUACCGCAUGAAGCAGGGGCCCCGCAUGGGGAUAUUUGCUAAAGAUUCAUCGCUGAUAGAUAGGCAUGCGUUCCAUUAGGCAGUUGGCGGGGUAACGGCCCACCAAACCGACGAUGGAUAGGGGUUCUGAGAGGAAGGUCCCCCACAUUGGUACUGAGACACGGACCAAACUCCUACGGGAGGCAGCAGUGAGGAAUAUUGGUCAAUGGGCGUAAGCCUGAACCAGCCAAGUCGCGUGAGGGAUGAAGGUUCUAUGGAUCGUAAACCUCUUUUAUAAGGGAAUAAAGUGCGGGACGUGUCCCGUUUUGUAUGUACCUUAUGAAUAAGGAUCGGCUAACUCCGUGCCAGCAGCCGCGGUAAUACGGAGGAUCCGAGCGUUAUCCGGAUUUAUUGGGUUUAAAGGGUGCGUAGGCGGCCUUUUAAGUCAGCGGUGAAAGUCUGUGGCUCAACCAUAGAAUUGCCGUUGAAACUGGGGGGCUUGAGUAUGUUUGAGGCAGGCGGAAUGCGUGGUGUAGCGGUGAAAUGCAUAGAUAUCACGCAGAACCCCGAUUGCGAAGGCAGCCUGCCAAGCCAUUACUGACGCUGAUGCACGAAAGCGUGGGGAUCAAACAGGAUUAGAUACCCUGGUAGUCCACGCAGUAAACGAUGAUCACUAGCUGUUUGCGAUACACUGUAAGCGGCACAGCGAAAGCGUUAAGUGAUCCACCUGGGGAGUACGCCGGCAACGGUGAAACUCAAAGGAAUUGACGGGGGCCCGCACAAGCGGAGGAACAUGUGGUUUAAUUCGAUGAUACGCGAGGAACCUUACCCGGGUUUGAACGCAUUCGGACCGAGGUGGAAACACCUUUUCUAGCAAUAGCCGUUUGCGAGGUGCUGCAUGGUUGUCGUCAGCUCGUGCCGUGAGGUGUCGGCUUAAGUGCCAUAACGAGCGCAACCCUUGCCACUAGUUACUAACAGGUAAAGCUGAGGACUCUGGUGGGACUGCCAGCGUAAGCUGCGAGGAAGGCGGGGAUGACGUCAAAUCAGCACGGCCCUUACAUCCGGGGCGACACACGUGUUACAAUGGCGUGGACAAAGGGAGGCCACCUGGCGACAGGGAGCGAAUCCCCAAACCACGUCUCAGUUCGGAUCGGAGUCUGCAACCCGACUCCGUGAAGCUGGAUUCGCUAGUAAUCGCGCAUCAGCCAUGGCGCGGUGAAUACGUUCCCGGGCCUUGUACACACCGCCCGUCAAGCCAUGGGAGCCGGGGGUACCUGAAGUCCGUAACCGCGAGGAUCGGCCUAGGGUAAAACUGGUGACUGGGGCUAAGUCGUAACAAGGUAGCCGUACCGGAAGGUGCGGCUGGAACACCUCCUU
rnacentral:rRNA from 1 species